AGGCCUCUGGAUAGGAGAUAUGACAUGCCCAAGGUCUCGCAGUUCAUGUGAGGCAGGAAACUUAAGAGACCCAGACUUCUCCUUUAAGGAAACUGUAAGGUGAUUCAUUUAGCAUUGCCACCUGGGGUAUCAUUGUCAUGGCAGACCCCAAAGGGAAGGCCUACCGCGAUGUUUGAAAGUACCACCAGUGAAUCUGUCUUCUGUCUCGGUCCCCGUGACACACAGAGCAGGCAUAGAAUUUAAUGGGUGUUCUGACAGACACUUGUACAUGGACAGACAUCACUACUGUGGAUACUACAAGACUGAAAAGAAAAUCAUAUGUUGUCAUUCUCUGGCUAUAGAGUGUUCGUGGCCUUCACAGAUUUCACAGGAACCAAUAAAUCCCUCAGAGAAGUAAACAGGUUCUUUGUCUUAUCUGGGUAAGGAAAGUAUAACUUAUAUUUAAAUAUAAUUGUUUAAUUAAGCAUUAUAUAUAAACAUAAUGAUAUGUCUUGUAUAAUUGCAUAUCAUAUUAUAUAUAUUAAACAAAUAUGUUUAGUU
rnacentral:sRNA from 1 species